UGAGCAAUCUGCCCUUCUCAUCGGAAUAAGCGUUGGAAACGACGUCUAAUGCCGAAUACGACCUCCUUUCGCAUGAUCGGAGGUGGAAAGCUCCGGCGGAGAAGGAUGAGCUCGCGGCCUAUCAGCUAGUGGGUGUGGGUAAUGGCCCACCAAGGCGACGACGGGUAGCCGGCCUGAGAGGGUGACCGGCCACACGUGGGACUGAGACACGGCCCAGACCUCCUACAGGAGG
rnacentral:rRNA from 1 species